AUUAUGUCGCCAUCUUGCCAAAUAUUUUCUAACCUUUUCCAAUUCAAGGACAGAAUAAUUUUUACUUUCUAAUUGUGAUUAUUAAUUAAUUAAUUGUCUUUCAUCUCUUUUUUUUUGUCAAUUAUCGAAAGGUUGUGAGUUAAUUCCUGAAUUUUGGGUGAUGAUCAUGAUGAUUACAAAGUUAUUUGGAUACAUAGAUGGUAAGAGUGACUUGUAAACAUAGACAAAUAUACUAAAUGUUGCUGGUGAAAAUGAAGAGAAUUCAAUUGGAUACACUUAUUCCCUCUUUCUCUCUCAUGAUCAUUAUCAACAACGAAACACUAAGGAAGUCAAAGGAAUCAAUUAUUAUCAAUGGAAUCAACCUUGUCAACUUCAUUUUUUUCUCUCUCUCUCUCUCUGUUCCAACUGACAAAACCCACUCGCUGAAUUAGAGUUGUAACUCUAAAUCAUAUGAGAGAGUGAGAGAAAUAGGAAAAUAAAUACAAGCUCAAGAGUAUGUGUUUAUUGCAAAACAAUUUGUAUCAUAAGCAAAUAAACAAACAAUCAUCAGCUAAUCAAUUGCAAGAGUUUUUACCUUUCUAAUUACAUUGAGUAGUUAAUUGGUCUCCUAUUGGUCUCAAGUUAAUUUUGGAUUACAAUCAAUGUCUCUCUCUCUAAUCAUCGUCACAACAAUUAUCACUUUCAACCAUCACAAAAGUCAAUAAGCUGUGAAAACCUUUGGUAUUUAUCAUUUUCUCUGACCCUAAGAUUAUUCCAUUCUCUAUGUGAGUGUAUUCUUAACUCAGAGAAAAAGAGAGAGAGAGAGAGAGAGCAACCAUGAGAGUUUAUUAGAGGUCUUUAACCUUGCAACCGGUAUAUGGAAAAAUCAAUAUUACACUUGCAAUUUAUGACAAUAUCUCCAUAUUAUUUUUAUCUUUUUCUUUUGUUUUUUUAUAAUAUAUACUAGAGUUUAUCUCGAUAUGUAGAUCCUUUACCAGGAUAAACAAUAUUUGACGAUCAAUAAUCUGUCUAAGCUCUUCCUACAUGACCGAAGAUAAGAUGACUUGGAGAUCACUUUUUGUUCGAGGAAUAUGGUGAACUUAGAAGACGAUGAUAACUAUUGCUCUUCCAUUUUGAUUAAUCUUACGACUUUUCCCUCUUCUUUUUGAUUGCAUUGGUCUUACCCUCUCUCUGGACAUUGGAAUUUUGGUUGAUAAAUCAGUUGGCAACAAAAGGUGAUUGGGUAAUUUGAUUACAUGAAGUGAUGAUGGUUGGAAAAUGCUGAUGAUUCUGGUGAUUUGUUACACUGUAAAUCUUUUUGCAAUUUAACAGUAUGUUGUUCCCUUUGGUUUUUUUUUCCAGAGCAACAUUGAGAAUCGGUGAUAACUUAAACUUACUGCCAAAGGAGAAGAAAAUUUUUUAGAUGAAUUAACACAAUUUUCCAACGAAUCUGCGUAUUCUUCACAGCCAUAAGCAAGUUUAACCUUUCUCACCAUUUUCUCAGUUUAUUGUUACCUAAAUUCAGUUCGAUGAACCAAAGAUGGCGUAAAUACUUUGAGAGGUUUGAUAACGUUAGAGAAGAGACUAUUUCUCUUCCCAAUGACCUGACCUUCUACUUUAUCCUUUGUCUUCAACCUCUUUUCUCUCUCUUUACUUUAUAUGUUUCUCAUUCUCACCCUUUGCUCACUUUUUCUCUUCUCUAGCAAAAGUCGUCAUUUUCCUUUGGAAAAAAGCUAUUACACAUUAGAAAGAAAGAAAGAGAGAAACAUUCCCAUGUAAGGCCAAGUUCAUCUUCUUUCUUUUUUUCUAUACUUUCUCUGUUUCCUUUAUAGUGAAGUUCAUUGGCUCAAUCAUCCUCAUCUUCUCUCUCUUUUUACUCUUUGGUUAUUACUCAUUCUCUACCUGUGACCUUUGGAAACAAUUCUCUUGUACAUAAAGACUACAGUUCCUGGUUCAUACAUAAUUCAAAUUUCUCAACUUUUAUGAUCAUCACCAAUGUCUACGUGAUGAUUUGCGAUGUAUUAUGAUGGAUGAUUACGAGUCUAAUCCCUGGAUUAAAAUUGCAAAAGCCCAAAAAUCAUCAUUCGUCUCUAAAAAUGAACUUGCCUGAUCAUCUCUCUUCCUCCCUCUCUCUCUCUCUCACACACACACUCACUUCUUUUACUCUGAAUUUCCAUUCAUUUUCAUUCCCCAUUUUCAAGUUAAAUAUAUUGACUUUCUCAUUCGUAGUCGGAUUUCAUGUUCUCGUUGCGAUGAAUUUCUAUUUUCUUUUCGGGAGCCUCAGGAGCUCUCAGGUUUCUCUUCCGUGUUCAUAUCUCUACCCUCUCACUAUUCUUCAUUCUCUCUCUCUCUCUCUCUCUCUCUUCAUGUUCCUCCCCCUCUUUCUCAUUGACUCUCAUCAUGAUUUCAACGGUAGUUUUCAUUUUCUAAAAGUCUUUUCUGUUCUUGAACCAGGUCAUCCAUCCUUUUGGUUUCUUUUUAAUCCAACAACAAACCUCCUUCAACAUUAUCUUUUCGUCCUCCAUCAUCAUCAUCAUCAUCAUUAUCCCCCCGUCUGUUUAAAAAUAUUGUUAACAUUUACUUUUCUCUUUAAUUUCUUGUCUCUUUUUUUUUACUCUCUUUCUGAUUAUAUUUAGAUACUCACUCGACGAGAUGCAUCAUGAAACCGUGAAACCAAUUCGGAAGUUGUUUACUUUCAACUCGAAAACAACAACAACAACAAUCAUUUAUUAUAUUCGGUUGGAAGUCAGGUCAAUUUGGUAAACACUUUCUCUCCCGUUUAAUUUUAACGUUACAGGGAAGAUUAUGAUUACGCUGUUGAAGAGACCGCGAAAAUAUAAUUUUCUGAUUCAAUAUUAUCUCGAGUCAAUCAACUUUUAAAGUUAUAUUUAAAUUUAUCUUCAAAUUAGCUUAAUGAUUAUCCGGUUGUUCAAUUGGAGACAAUUACAAUUUACUUGUUAUCAUUGACUCUUUAUUGUAAAGUUUGACUUGAGAUUAAUUUUAACAAGAUUGUUUUUCUGUUGAUUUUUCCUCUUCCCUCUGUUAAUUGUUGAUCAGAUUAACUAAGUUAAAAUUAACCUUGUUAAUUUAUCAAUUGUUUGGUGGUUUUUGUUUGUUAGAUUAUUUUUGAACACAAAAAAAAACCUUGAAAAAGGUUAAUAACCUUAUGAUGAUCAAGUGAAAGUGAUGAACAAAUAAUGACAACAAUCAAUACUGAUAAUUGAUUUAAUCAUUUCCGCAAUUAGAUUGGAUUAACUGUAAAUAAUUUAAUUAGUAGAAACAAAGUGAUUUAAACGAAUCAAUUUAAAAGUUCCUGUUCUUAUGUACAUUAGAUGUCAACAUGAGUAAUAUAUUGGCGGUCAUUUUCCUUUCCAAGUCCAGUUUCCGUUUCAAGAGGACAAAAACAAGGACUUUGUUUACUUCCGCUCGAUACCGUUCACCAUAGGGAAUCACGCGACAUGAGCACAUACAGAGGGAGAAAGAGACAAGCAAGAGACAAGAGGGUGAGGUGAGGGUGGUAAAGGAGACGAAAUCUAUCAUCUUAAGAUCACGAAAUCUUUGACCUCUCUUUCUCUCUCAUCCACAAACAACAACAACGAAGAGGAAAAAAUUCCCAGUGAAAUAAAUAUACUUCAGGAUUGUUUUCUUUUUCCACUCUCUUCCAUAUUUUCAUCUGCCUCUCUCUCUCUUUCUCCCACUCACUUCUUGGGUGAGGGUGGACCAGGUUUCCUUUAUCCUUCUUCCCUCUCAUCUUGAAUACAUAACCUUGGGUCGAAAGGUCAUUCAAAGGAAUAUCUAAUUGACUGUGAUAUCUUUUUUCUGUUACGCGUGAUUAUUCAAUGUUUUUUUCUUCUCUUUCUUUUCAUCCUUUUCUUUCUUUUUCUUUCUCUCUCACUUACUUUCUUCUUAUGUUAGAGAGAGAGAGAGAGAGAGAGAGAGAGAGAGAGAGAGAGAGAGAGAGAGAGAGAGAGAGAGAGACUCACAUUUCCUGUAAAAAAUCUAACAUUUAAGUCUAAAGAUCGUAACCCCGAGAGCAAAUAUUCACAUAGAAUAGAAAAGAUUUCAUUUUUUUGUUGAUUCGCCAAUGAACAGGUCGAUAUUUUUUGACCUUCUUUCUUCCUUCCUUUCCGUACCCUUUUGCCCAGGUCACUUUUCUCUAUGUUAAUAUGUCCCUCGUUGACUCUUUCUAUUUCUCUCUCUUUGUUAUCAUCCUCCUCUCAUCAUAUCGUUUUGGACGCUAUUUAGUGACAAUAGUUGUACACAGAUAGGAGCCAAUGUUUGUCUCUCCCUCGAAAAUUUUACCUUAUUUUUUAUUCUUUGCCGUUUAUUUAUCGGCUCUUAACCCAAUAUGUUUAUUAUCAUCACUCUCGUCAUCCUUAUCAUCAUCCCUCUAACUCCUUUUAUCCUACUCCCAACCCAGAAAACCUUACCCUUCCUACGUUUCUUUCUCUCUCUCUCAUAUUCUUAGGCCUUUUUUACGCCCAAUAUCACCCAAUAUUAGGCUUCUCCCUUUUUAUUUUCUUCUUUCUUUUCAUUCUUUUCUUUUCGAACUUUUUCUAUCUGUGUUUUCCGCGCCUUUUUAUCCUUUCAUUUCUCUCCCUCAUCUUCACAAUCUUUCAUCUUCUCAUUCAUAUUUGUCUUUUCUUCUUUCAUUUUCUUUUCUUUUUCUCAAUAGAUUUCACUUUAAAAAUUUACACAGAUGAUGGAGAAAGAGGAUAGAUGAUAAUGAUGAUCAAGGAUGAAGAGAGGAAACUCUAGGUUGUGGCUGAAGAUGAUAAAGAAUCAAUUCCAAAGGUCAGCAAACGAGCUUUGAGGUCAUAGACAUUUGCAAGUCAAGGUCACAAGGCCAAUUACAGGCUUUGGUUUAUAACCAAGGACUCACGGCAAGGAUAAGGAAGAGAUUGAACCAUAGAGUAAAAACCAGAGGAUGAUAAUGAUGAUGAAGAUGAAGAUUCCAAUGCAACCAUUUAUUGUUAUUCCUCUUUAAACUUCUCCAUCUUCUCCCUCUCCUCUCUCUCUCUCUCACUCGCAUCUCUUCAAGGUGAAAAUUUUCCAAAGGCCAAGUUAACCCAAAACUCCCUCAGGUUAAACAUUCUCAUGAUCCAUUGCAAGGUAACCACCGAGGCCGACGACCUUUUUUAUUUUCAUUUUCCUAGAAAAGAAAAUAUUUUCUUAUCUUCUCUUUUCCAUCAUCAUCAUCAUCAUCUCUAUGUAAUUAUGUUUUUUGUUUUCUCUUUGCAAUUGCUUCUCAUCCUCAUCCCUCCCGGUUUACAACUAAAGAUCAAGGAUAAAGUUCAAAAAGAGAAUAGAAAAUUUUUAUAUCAACUAUUAAGAUGAUGGAUGAUGAUGAUUAGUUAAUUUUCAAGAGACAAUUUAACCCGUACAAUUAUGGACCUAAAAUUAAUCCAUUAAUUGGCUUGAUCGUUGAAUAAAAAUUCAGGUCAUCUCUCACUAGAAAUGUCAAUCUAUCAAUUGAAUUAUAUUAAUAGCUUUUAUCUUAUCAAAGCCAAAGUAAUCAAUUGCUAAUUAAUAAGGAUAAAAGUUGAUUUGGUUAAUUAAUAGAUGAUUAAAUUGAUAACCAAUAUAAUGUUAAAAUUGAAGAUUACAAAACAAAGGGUAAUGAAAGAUUCAGAUAUUAAUUAAUGAAGAAAUUGAGUAAAAAUCUAGAUUGUGAUUAAGUCUAAUGUUUAUAUUGAGAGUUAACUAGGUCAUCAUUAUCUUUAAGACUCUAUGGGUUAAUUGUAAUCUGCUUGACACUAAUACAGGUUAAUGUGAUAAUUAUGAUUAAAAGAAAUUAACUUUAAUCAUGUUAAAUGAUUUUAUCGAAAAAUAUUAAAUCAUAUUAACGUUUUUCGUAUUGAAUAGAAAGGUAAUCAAAAGGUAAGAGACCCUUGAAAAUAUUGAACAAUAAGAUCAGGUAAAGGGUUUGACAUAACCAGGAAGAGAAAGAGACAGACAAAGAGAUGAUGAGGAUGAGGAUGAUGAAGAUGAAGAUGAAGAUGGAGGUGAAGGAGAAAUAUAAAUUCUAGACAAAGCUACAUCUUCAUGGGAAUAGGAUCGGUCGCCUUUGUUACUUUCUUAAAGACCUUCAGUUAACAUCUUCCUCCCUCUUCAUCUCUCUCUCUCUCUC